GGAACCCGAUGCUAAUACGGCAUAAUGCAGCGGCAUCGCAGGAUGACAGUUGUUAAUGGAGCAAUCGGCUCGAAGAGGAGCUUGCGGCAGAUUAGCUAGUUGGUAAGGUAAUGGCUUACCAAGGCUUCGAUCUGUAUCCGGUCUAAGAGGACGGUCGGACACACUGACACUGAAUAACGGGUCAGACUCCUACGGGAGGCAGCAGUCGGGAAUUAAGGGCAAUGGGCGAAAGCCUGACCCAGCAACGCCGCGUGAAGGAUGAAGUAUUUCGGUAUGUAAACUUCGAAAGAAUGGAAAGAAUCAAUGACGGUACCAUUUAUAAGCUCCGGCUAACUACGUGCCAGCAGCCGCGGUAAUACGUAGGGAGCAAGCGUUGUUCGGAUUUACUGGGCGUAAAGGGCGCGUAGGCGGCCUGUCAAGUCAACUGUGAAAUCUCCGGGCUUAACUCGGAACGGUCAGUUGAUACUGUCAGGCUAGAGUGCAGAAGGGGCAAUCGGAAUUCUUGGUGUAGCGGUGAAUUGCGUAGAUAUCAAGAGGAACACCUGAGGUGAAGACGGGUUGCUGGGCUGACACUGACGCUGAGGCGCGAAGGCCAGGGUAGCAACCGGGAUUAGAUACCACGGUAGUCCUGGCCCUAAACGAUGAAUACUUGGUGUCUGGAGUUAUUAUCGCUCCGGGUGCCGUCGCUAACGUUUUAAGUAUUCCGCCUGGGGAGUACGCACGCAAGUGUGAAACUCAAAGGAAUUGACGGAGACCCGCACAAGCGGUGGAGCAUGUGGUUUAAUUCGACGCAACGCGAAGAACCUUACCUGGACUAGAAUGUGAGGGAAGGGCUUCUAACAGAGUCCGUCCGGGAAACCGGACCCAAAACAAGGUGCUGCAUGGCUGUCGUCAGCUCGUGUCGUGAGAUGUUGGGUUAAGUCCCGCAACGAGCGCAACCCUUAUCAACAGUUGCCAUCAUUAAGUUGGGAACCCUGUUGAGACUGCCGUUGAUAAAACGGAGGAAGGUGGUGGAUGAUGUCAAGUCAUCAUGGCCUUUAUGUUCAGGCUACACACGUGCUACAAUGGAUGGUACAAGCCGUCGCAAUCCCGCAAGGGGGAGCUAAUCGCAAAGCUCAUUCUCAGUUCGGAUUGAAGUCUGCAACUCGACUUCAUGAAGUUGGAAUCGCUAGUAAUCGCGGAUCAGCAUG
rnacentral:rRNA from 1 species